rnacentral:rRNA from 1 species
AGGGUGUAACGCUGCAGACUUGGUGUUGGAAGCCCUUUGGGGGCAUUCAGUGCCGGAGAGAAGUUGUUAAGUCUGCUACUUGGGAGUACGUCCGCAAGGAUGAACUUAAAGGAAUUGGCGGGGGGAGGCACCGCAACGGGAGGAGCGUGCGGUUUAAUUGGAUUCAACACCGUAAACUACACCAGGGAAGACUGUUACAUGAAGGCCAGGUUGAUGACCUUGCUUGACAAGCUGAGAGGAGGUGCAUGGCGUGUGACUGU